rnacentral:rRNA from 1 species
CCUACGGGAGGCAGCAGUGGGGAAUAUUGGGCAAUGGAGGCAACUCUGACCCAGCAAAGCCGCGUGAAUGAUGAAGGUCUUCUGAUUGUAAAGUUCUUUUCUAAGGGAAGAAGAAAGUGACGGUACCUUCGUAAUAAGCCUCGGCUAACUACGUGCCAGCCGCCUCGGGAAUCCGUAGGAGGCAAGCGUUAUUCGGAAUGACUGGGGGUAAAGGGUGCGUAGGUGGUGUGACAAGUUAGUAGCGCAACUCCUGAGCUCAAAUUCGGAACAACUACUAAAACUGUUGGACUUGAGUGUAGGAGGGGUAAUCGGAAUUCCUAGUGUAGCGGUGGAAUGCGUAGAUAUUAGGAGGAACACCAGUGGCGAAGGCGGAUUGCUAGACUGUAACUGACACUGAGGCACGAAAGCGUGGGGAGCAAACAGGAUUAGAUACCCGUGUAGUC